AGAGAAACUGUAUGGUUUCAUGGGGCUGUGCAAAAAUCACAGCCAGUACUUCUAAAGCUUCGCUCACCUGAGCAUGUACACCAUGACGCUCCAAGUUUAGGCUAUUUGAUAUAAGCAAAAGUUUACUCUGUAUUAGUAUAAACAUUAUAAACUGGAGAUCAAUUCCUUUACCUCUUGGAAUAAACUGCUAUGUUGUUUCAAUAUACACAAAUCAAUCGUGGGAGAUUAAGGAGCCACAUUUUUUUCGUGUUUCACUUGAAGCGGUCGCCUAAAGCAAUAAAAAAUUCAUACAAUGAGCAGAUAACACAAGUAGUGGCGGAGGGAGCAUGUUGGGAGGGAGUGCAAUUGACACAGAUGAAAUUCAAAUUUUUUAUAUAAAUAUUUGUAUUUUUAUGUAAAAACUAGAUAUAAUAUUAAUAAUUUAGCUAAAUGACCCCCGUAAAAUUUGUUUAUAAUACAUUAUAAAUUAAAAUUGAUCUCCGUAAAUUUUUUUUCUAACUCCGCCACUGAACACAAGGAUCUCCCACGUGAUGGUGCUCUAGUGUUGAACUCUGCAAGAACACAGCCUCAAACAUCUCCAGAUUCUAUUUAGAUUAGAGACUUAGAUAAAAACAAAAAACAAAACAAAAAACAUACAGCAAAUAGAAAUCUUGACAUCGAUCAUACUCGUGAAAUAAACCAGCUUUUGAGAAUGAGGGCUACCUGUAUGAUAACAUUCAAAAAGCAAGCAUACUCACCAACUACUUUAAGCACCUCUUGUGAAUGACAUUUACGACUUUCAUCUUCUUCAAUGCUCAAAUGGGAUUUCAAAUUUUGGGUAUGUGAUCUUUUCACCAAAAUUUCCCUGUCUUUCACAGUAUAUAGAGAAAUGAGAG
rnacentral:lncRNA from 1 species